rnacentral:sRNA from 1 species
UUUUCCUGUUUAUAUAUUUUUGGUUUCCCCAAAUUUUUUGUUUGCUUCCGCCAACUUUUCAUUUGGCAUGUAAUUAAGUGUGGGCCAGCUGCUUGGACUGGGUGCUGCCAGCCUCCAUCCUAAGUGUAUGCAAAUCACGUGCUGAGUGCCGCCAAGGGUUCAGGUUCAGCCAUCGCCAUCGCCAUCGCCAUCGCCUCCUGGAGUCUGUUAAAUGGAGCGUGGACCCAGUUUCUGGGCUUGCCGAGAGUCCUGCGCCCGGUUUCGGUUGUCUUUUGUCGCUGGUUUUAAUAAUGUGGGCCAGGCUUAGUGCCAUAUGUCCGGCUGUGAAAAACAACAGAAACGUACGGCUGGAAAAAAAGUGUAAAAAAAGAGUGAAAUUGUCGCUUAGGCAAACAUUUCAAAAUGAAAUUAUGAGUGGGCCAGUGGCGGCGGGCGAAAAAAAGUGUAAACAAAUUUAGCCAAGCGGAAGUCCAGACACACACACACACUCUCUGCACACACACACACAUCCGCCAAGGGAAAGCCGCAGAGGAAAAGCGGGAAAAUGGGGGAUCGCAUUGUUGUGCGCUGUUGAAUGUUUGCCCACAAAUACAAACACACACGACACACAACACACGGCACAUGCACUUGUCCAGUCUCCACAGGACAUCCAGCACUCGCUGCUCUCGUAUUUGAUAUUAUUAAAUUUUUUCCCUAAAUACCGCUGGGAAAUUAAAAAGAAAUCAUAACGCAAAUAGUGUAAGGCAGCCAGCCAUCUGAUGAUGACGGCUCCGGCUGGCCAAUUUCCACAUUUGGACGAGUGUAAGCCUGCACUGUGCGAAAUAGUUGGUAUAAUUCCUCGUCAGUAUAAUGGAAAGUAUCUCAGUAUCUCAGCGGAAUUGGAAUAUGCAAGAUAGUUAAUGAUCCACACUAUUUCAGGACGUUUUAACGAAGGAUUGAUGGCGGUGCAUAAAAUGUAGCUACAUAAGUAAUGGAGCAGCCCCCUCAUCAUCAUCAGCAUCAUCAGGAUCACUUGGAGGAGUACGGGGACCAUGGCCAUCACCCACGUGAUUGCCGCUCGUCGGAGGUCGUCAGUGCCGGGAGCGUCAACAUAGUUUGAAUUUAAUUAAAACCAAAAUUAGUAGAGCCCAGAGUGGAACGGUUUGGGGCAGCCCGACCAACCGGAGCAACAGUUACUUGGCGCAGGGAUUAAAGCUCCUGCUGCCGCUCCUUUCUGGCAAAAGUGCAUGUCUGCAGAAAAUCGAAUCAGGAGCUCAACAUCCUCAUCCACGAGCCAGCCCGGCAUCCCAGCAACCUGGAACUCCUCCGUUUCCAUCCAUCCACCUGGUCCUGAACCUGAAGCAACGGCGCCAUGCCGAAAUAUCUGCAACAAAAGCAUAAGAUGUAGUGCGGCAUUUGAUGAUGAAACGACGUGUUAAUUAAGGUCAUAAUAAUUCAACUUAAAUUGAAAACUUGCCCGGGCCCAGCGACGCAACCAUGGCAAGGCAAGGCACUCAGUAACCAUUUUCGGGUGGUCGGGCAUCGGGCAUUGGGCGAAGGGCAUCGCAUCCUUGGAAUCCUGGCCAGGCUAAGCUGAUUGCAACAAAUUAUUUUGCACCUUGGUUGAACUUUCCUUGAGCUGCAGACAGCAUGGCGUUGAUAAACGAAUUUUGUUAGUUUGCUUUGCUUAUUUUAAAUGGAACUAGGUGGUGGCCAGGACUGCCAGGACUCCCAGGAUCAGGAUACGCGAGUGGCUGGUGAAGGGGCCAGUGUUGCCUUUGGUUUUGCAUAAACCAGACAACGCAUCUAAUAAGUUGCAGCUGUCGGUUGCCACCGUCUCCCUGCAUUUCAGUUUCAGCCAAAGAAGUUGAAAGUUUUUACUGGGCCCCGCCUAAUGCCUCAAAGUGCAGAGCUGUGUUUGCCAUUAAAUGAUAUUAGUUAAAUGAUAAUUAACAGCUGGAAAA